AGGCAGCCCAGCAGCUGGAGGACAUGUGCCCAGCACCCUGCAAGGGCCACAUGCAGAAUGAGGACUGCCACCACAUGCCAGCACGGGGAACUGGGAGGGAAAAUCAGCCAGGUAUUGGGUAAUGUUGUCCCACUGUGCUGACGCAUGAGGCAGGGUGUGCCCCCGACCCCAGGGAGGUAUUGAUGUAGCACAAUCACGGAAUCACGGAAUCUGCUGACUUGGAAGGGACCCUCCAGGAUCAUGGAGCCUGACUCCUUCUGGACCAGAGUGACAUUCAGGGAGGUGGUUUAGCUUCACUGGUUUAAUCAAGAGCUCCAGAGCUGAACGUGCAAAAAUGAUGUGCUGCAUUUUACUGAGAAAAUAAGAGAUCUGAUCAGAAGAUCUGUUUUCCUUAUCACCACUAAUUGCCCUGAUGAUGACGAUGUGUGCAGAUGACACUGGAGAAUGAUGUUGGAAAUAGAGACACAAAAUGGUCAG